rnacentral:lncRNA from 1 species
GGGAUGGAACAGGGAGAAGGGAGGGAUGGAGAAAGGAGGGAUGGAAUAAGAGAAGAGGGAAGGAUGGAAUAAGAGAAGAGGGAAGGCUGGAGCAGAGGGAGAAGCGAGGGAUGGAAUGGUGGAAUAGGGAGGGAUGGAGAGGAGAAGACGGAGGGAUGGAAUGGGAGGAGGAAGGCAGGGAUGGAACAGGGGGAGAAGGGAGGGAUGGAAUGAGAGAAGAAGGAUGGAGCAGUGGGAGAAGGGAGGGAUAGAACAGGAGGGGAUGGGAGGGAUGGAAUGGCGGAAUAGGGAGGGAUGGAGAAGGAGAAGACGGAGGGGUGGAAUGAGAGGAGGAAGGCAGGGAUGGAGAAGAGGGAGGGAUGGAGAAGGAGAAGACGGAGGGAUGGAAUGGUAGGAAGAAGGGAUGGAAUGGAGGGAGGAAGGCAGGGAUGGAAGAGGAGAAGGAAGAGAGGGAGGGAUGGAAUGAGAGAAGAGGGAAGGAUGGGAACGGUGGAGUAGGGAGGGAUGGAACUGAGAGCAGAGGCAGGGAUGGAGCAGGAGAAGGAAGGGAUGGAGAGGGAGAGAAGGAAGGCAGGGAAGGAACAGGGAGAGGAGGAAGGGAUGGAGUGGGAGAAAGAAGGGAUGGAGUGGGAGAAAGAAGGGAUGGAGAGAGAGAAGGAAGGGAUGGAGCAGACGAGAUGGGAGGGAUGGAACGGUGGAAAAGGAAAGGAUGGAAUAGGAGAAAAGGAGGGGAUGGAACGGUGGAAAAGGGAGGAAUGGAAUGGGAGAAGGAGGGCAGGGAUGUAACGGGAGAAAAGGCAGGGAUGGGGACAAGGAAAGGAGGGACAGUGGCAUGUGCCACCCCCUGCGGCCACCACACGCCCGGGACACCCCGGCGGGUCCCUGGAGCUGCCGGGGGCUCUGGAACGGCUCUGCCGGAGCUGCUGCUCCUCCCCCGGCAACUGGGGCGGCAGCAGGAGGUGACAUCCCCCGUGCCGGGGGAGGCGGGAGGCGAGCGGGGAUGGAUUGGAAAAUUUGAGGGGAAGUUACUCCCUGUGGAGCCAAGGAGCCGCCAGCAGGAGGGUCACCAGACAGGGAUGGCAUCAAGAAAACCAACGGAGCCCCAAAUGGAUUUUAUGCAGAGAUCGACUGGGACAGAUAUAACUCACCUGAGCUGGAUGAGGAGGGAUACAGCAUCAGACCCGAGGAACCAGGAUCUACCAAAGGAAAGCACUUCUACUCCUCCAGCGAGUCGGAGGAGGAGGAGGAGGCGCACAAGAAGUUCAACAUCAAGAUCAAGCCCCUGCAAGCCAAGGACGCCCUGCGCAGCGCGGCCACCGUGGACGAGCUCCGGGCGUCCGUGGGCAACAUCGCCCUGUCCCCCUCCCCCGUGGUGAGUGUGCCCCCCUCCCCGGCCCCCUGAGCCGCAGGGACCACCCCCAGCUCGGCGGCAGAUCGUGUUCCGCUUGGGGUUUUCUUGGUGGUGGUUUCGGGGUCUGGCUCGCUGGGAUGUGUUGGAGUGUUUGGAGUGGCUUAAAAGUUCCCUUUGCUGCUCGUAAGGCACAUCGGGGUGUAUCGUUCCCGCGUUUUUCUCACCUCUUCUCCUCCUUUUUCAAUGAGGAAAAAAGAGGAAUUUCAAUCAAGGGGGAUUUUUAAUCAUCACCAUUCGGGGUCUUGCCAGGGCAAUCAUCUGUGGGAUUUUCAAUGGGAUUUUUGAUGGGUGUUUCUCACCCUGGAUGUGAAUCCCAAUUCUUGGAGGGUUCUUCCCAUUGAGAGUCUUAUCCUGAUUCCCAAGCCAAUGAAUCCAUCAGUGGGAUUUUCCAUGGGGAUUUUAGAGGUUUAUUUCUCACCCUGGAUGUGAAUCCCAAUUCUUGGAGGAUUCUUCCCAUUGAGAGUCUUACCCUGAUUCCCAAGCCAAUGAAUCCAUCUGUAGGAUUUUCCAUGGGAAUUUGGAGGUGUAUUUCUCACCCUGGAUGUGAAUCCCAAUUCUUGGAGGAUUCUUCCCAUUGAGAGUCUUACCCUGAUUCCCAAGCCAAGGAAAUCAUCUGUAGGAUUUUCCAUGGGAUUUUUGAUGGGUGUUUCUCACCCUGGCAAUGAAUCCCAGUUCCUGGAAGGUUCUUCCCAUUGAGAGUCUUAUCCUGAUUCCCAAGCCAAUGAAUCCAUCAGUGGGAUUUUCCAUGGGGAUUUUAGAGGUUUAUUUCUCACCCUGGAUGUGAAUCCCAAUUCUUGGAGGAUUCUUCCCAUUGAUAGUCUUACCCUGAUUCCCAAGCCAAGGAAAUCAUCUGUAGGAUUUUCCAUGGGAUUUUUGAUGGGUGUUUCUCACCCUGGCAAUGAAUCCCAGUUCCUGGAAGGUUCUUCCCAUUGAGAGUCUUAUCCUGAUUCCCAAGCCA